rnacentral:lncRNA from 1 species
CUCGUCGUCUUCAACUAUAAAAGAGUGGUCCGUAUACUUUUAGGGAAACAACUAGUAUUUUAUUGUUAGUCCAAUAUCAUGUCGUUUUUGUCGCAUGCAAUGGAGCAAGAGUUGGAAAGUGGUAAUUGAUGGAACAGACAAGGAUGUAAUAAUUGCGCUAUGCAAUUAUUAAAGGGACCGGGGCUUCGAUGGGCGCAUUGUCUAAGUUGUUCAUCGAUAUUCGCUAAUAAACAUCAACACUUUUAAUUUAUGAAAAUAAAAGCUUGAUGUUACAGUAGUGAUCAGAAUGAUCUUCAAUCUUAGAAGCUGAAUGGUCAUGACAUAUGUGCGAUACAAAUAUAUGAAAGGAAACACAUAACUUAUCAGGGUUGCUU